rnacentral:rRNA from 1 species
UGGUUAAAAAGCUCGUAGUUGGAUCUCGGCGGACUGAGGGCGGUUUGCUUGCUAGUAUUACUGCCCUAUAGUCCGUAGUUUUGCCAGAGGUUUCGGGGUGCUCUUAAUCGAGUGUCCCGGGAUGCUGGCAGGUUUACUUCGAAAAAAUUAGAGUGCUCAAAGCAGGCUAUUACGCCUGAAUAUUCGUGCAUGGAAUAAUAGAAUAGGAAGUCGUUUCUAUUUUGUUGGUUUUCGGAAAUCGACUUAAUGAUUAAUAGGGACAGUCGGGGGCAUUUGUAUUCAAACGACAGAGGUGAAAUUCUUGGACCGUUUGAAGACAAACUACUGCGAAAGCAUUUGCCAAGAAUGUUUUCAUUAAUCAAGAACGAAAGUUAAAGGUUCGAAGGCGAUUAGAUACCGCCCUAGUUUUAACCAUAAACGAUGCCAGCUAGCGAUCUGCGGACGUUUUUUUUGUAGACUCCGCAGGAAGCUUCCGGGAAACCAAAGCAUUUGGGUUCCAGGGGAAGUAUGGUUGCAAAGCUGAAACUUAAAGGAAUUGACGGAAGGGCACCACCAGGAGUGGAGCCUGUGGCUUAAUUUGACUCAACACGGGAAAUCUCACCAGGCCCGGACACUGGAAGGAUUGACAGAUUGAUAGCUCUUUCU